rnacentral:rRNA from 1 species
AACAAACGCUGGCGGCGUGUCUUAAGCAUGCAAGUUGAGCGGCAAGGGGGAGCGAUCCCCCCUAGAGCGGCGGACUGGUGAGUAACACGUGGAUGAUCUACCCGAGGCAUGGGGAUAGUCACUAGAAAUAGUGGGUAAUACCGAAUACGGUGCGCAUCGUGAGGGUGCGCAAGAAAGGUGCUACGGCACCGGCCUAGGAUGAGUCUGCGUCCCAUUAGCUGGUUGGUGAGGUAAGAGCCCACCAAGGCGAUGAUGGGUAGCCGGCCUGAGAGGGUGUACGGCCACACUGGGACUGAGAUACGGCCCAGACUCCUACGGGAGGCAGCAGCUAAGAAUAUUCCGCAAUGGACGAAAGUCUGACGGAGCGACGCCGCGUGGAUGAAGAAGGCCGAAAGGUUGUAAAGUUCUUUCGUUGGGGAAGAAUAACCAUGGGAGGGAAUGCCCGUGGGAUGACAUGAACCGACGAAUAAGCCCCGGCUAACUACGUGCCAGCAGCCGCGGUAACACGUAGGGGGCGAGCGUUGUUCGGAAUUACUGGGCGUAAAGGGCAUGUAGGCGGUCUUGUAAGCUUGGCGUGAAAGACCACGGCUCAACCGUGGGAUUGCGUUGAGAACUGCGAGGCUUGAGUGACGGAGAGGGAGCUAGAAUUCCUGGUGUAGGGGUGGAAUCUGUAGAGAUCAGGAAGAAUACCAAUGGCGAAGGCAAGCUCCUGGCCGAUGACUGACGCUGAGGUGCGAAAGUGUGGGGAUCAAACA